rnacentral:rRNA from 1 species
GACGAACGCUGGCGGCGUGCUUAACACAUGCAAGUCGAGCGGAAAGGCCACUUCGGUGGUACUCGAGCGGCGAACGGGUGAGUAACACGUGAGUAAUCUGCCCUUGGCUUUGGGAUAGCCACCGGAAACGGUGAUUAAUACCGGAUACGACCACUUUCCGCAUGGGCUGGUGGUGGAACGUUGUUUCGGCCAGGGAUGGGCCCGCGGCCUAUCAGCUUGAUGGUGAGGUAAUGGCUCACCAUGGCUUCGACGGGUAGCCGGCCUGAGAGGGUGACCGGUCACACUGGGACUGAGACACGGCCCAGACUCCUACGGGAGGCUGCAGUGGGGAAUAUUGGACAAUGGGCGGAAGCCUGAUCCAGCAACGCCGCGUGAGGGAUGACGGCCUUCGGGUUGUAAACCUCUUUCAGCAGGGACGAAGCGCAGGUGACGGUACCUGCAGAAGAAGCACCGGUCAACUACGUGCCAGCAGCCGCCGUAA